rnacentral:rRNA from 1 species
AACGAACGCUGGCGGCGUGCUUAACACAUGCAAGUCGAACGCGAAAGGGACCUCGGUCCUGAGUAGAGUGGCGCACGGGUGAGUAACGCGUAAGUUAUCUACCCCUCCAUCUGGAAUAACUCACCGAAAGGUGUGCUAAUACCGGAUACGUUGGAAACAAGAAAGGUGGCCUCUUCUAUGCUACCGUGGAGGGAUGAGCUUGCGUACCAUUAGCUAGUUGGUAGGGUAAUGGCCUACCAAGGCAACGAUGGUUAGCGGGUCUGAGAGGAUGAUCCGCCACACUGGAACUGGAACACGGACCAGACUCCUACGGGAGGCAGCAGUGAGGAAUAUUGCGCAAUGGGGGAAACCCUGACGCAGCGACGCCGCGUGGAUGAUGAAGGCCUUUGGGUCGUAAAAAUCCUGUCAGAUGGAAAGAAAUGUACAUGUGCUAAUAUCACUUGUAUUUGACGGUACCAUCAAAGGAAGCACCGGCUAACUCCGUGCCAGCAGCGC